GUGCUUGCUUUGGCUGCACAUAUACUAAAGUUGGAACAAUACAGAAAAGAUUAGCAUGGCCCCUGAGCAAGGAUGACACACAAGUUUGCGAAGUGUUCCAUAAAAAA